AAUAAAGUGCCCGAAUUAAAAAGGAAUAUUUUGAUAGAAUAUAAAUAUAUAAUCUAUCUUUAUUA
rnacentral:tRNA from 2 species